rnacentral:misc_RNA from 1 species
AGGUUUCCAAGAACCCUUAAAAUCCCAAAGUUGAAAAAGAAAAAAAGAAAAGAAGAUGCAAAACUAGAGCAAACUUUAAAGGAAGAAAACAGUGAUCAUCCAUUAAUAGCACUAUGAUGUAGGCUUAAAGACAAGAACAUUAAAAAGAUAAAAUGAGGGGGAAUGGAGAAAAGGGAAAAAACAAUUUGGAGAGGUGAACAUUGCUAAUAUACAUAUAAGAACAUCUAU